rnacentral:rRNA from 1 species
GGUUCGAUCCUGGCUCAGAUUGAACGCUGGCGGGAUGCUUUACACAUGCAAGUCGAACGGCAGCACGGACUUCGGUCUGGUGGCGAGUGGCGAACGGGUGAGUAAUGUAUCGGAACGCCUAGUAGCGGGGGAUAACUACGCGAAAGCGUAGCCAAUACCGCAUACGCCCUUCGGGGGAAAGCGGGGGACCUUCGGGCCUCGCACUAUUAGAGCGGCCGAUAUCGGAUUAGCUAGUUGGUGGGGUAACGGCUCACCAAGGCGAUGAUCCGCAGUUGUUUGAGAGGACACCAGCCACACUGGGACUGAGAUACACGGCUCAGACUCCUACGGAGGCAGCAGUGGGGAAUUUUGACAAUGGGGGAAACCCCUGAUCCAGCCAUCCCGCGUGUGCGAUGAAGGCCUUCGGGUUGUAAAGCACUUUUGGCAGGGAAAAGAAACGGCACGGGAUAAUACCCCGUGCAACUGACGGUACCUGCAGAAUAAGCACCGGCUAACGCGCCAGCAGCCGCGGUAAUACGUAGGGUGCAAGCGUUAAUCGGAAUUACUGGGCGUAAAGCGUGCGCAGGCGGUUCGGAAAGAAAGAUGUGAAAUCCCAGAGCUUAACUUUUUGGAACUGCAUUUUUAACUACCGAGCUAGAGUGUGUCAGAGGGAGGUGGAAUUCCGCGUAGCAGUGAAAUGCGUAGAUAUGCGGAGGAACACCGAUGGCGAAGGCAGCCUCCUGGGAUAACACUGACGCUCAUGCACGAAAGCGUGGGGAGCAAACAGAUUAAGAUACCCCGGUAGUCCACGCCCUAAACGAUGUCAACUAGCUGUUGGGGCCUUCGGGCCUUGGUAGCGCAGCUAACGCGUGAAGUUGACCGCCUGGGGAGUACGGUCGCAAGAUUAAAACUCAAAGGAAUUGACGAGGACCCGCACAAGCGGUGGAUGAUGUGGAUUAAUUCGAUGCAACGCGAAAAACCUUACCUACCCUUGACAUGUCUGGAAUCCCUGAAGAGAUUUGGGAGUAUGCUCGCAAGAGAACCGGAACACAGGUGCUGCAUGGCUGUCGUCAGCUCGUGUCGUGAGAUGUUGGGUUAAGUCCCGCAACGAGUGCAACCCUUGUCAUUAGUUGCUACGGAAAAGCGCACUCUAAUGAGACUGCCGGUGACAAACCGAGGAAGGUGGGGAUGACGUCAAGUCCUCAUGGCCCUUAUGGGUAGGGCUUCACACGUCAUACAAUGGUCGGGACAGAGGGUCGCCAACCCGCGAGGGGGAGCCAAUCCCAGAAACCCGAUCGUAGUCCGGAUCGCAGUCUGCAACUCGACUGCGUGGUCGGAAUCGCUAGUAAUCGCGGAUCAGCAUGUCGCGGUGAAUACGUUCCCGGGUCUUGUACACACCGCCCGUCACACCAAGGGAGUGGGUUUUACCAGAAGUAGUUAGCCUAACCGUAAGGAGGGCUAUCACUACUGGGUAGGAUUCAUGACUGGGGUGAAGUCGUAACAAGGUAACUCUG